rnacentral:rRNA from 1 species
GACGAACGCUGGCGGCGUGCCUAACACAUGCAAGUCGAGCGAGUGGAGUUCUUCGGAACAAAGCUAGCGGCGGACGGGUGAGUAACACGUGGGCAACCUGCCUCAUAGAGGGGAAUAGCCUCCCGAAAGGGAGAUUAAUACCGCAUAAGAUUGUAGCUUCGCAUGAAGUAGCAAUUAAAGGAGCAAUCUGCUAUGAGAUGGGCCCGCGGCGCAUUAGCUAGUUGGUGAGGUAACGGCUCACCAAGGCGACGAUGCGUAGCCGACCUGAGAGGGUGAUCGGCCACAUUGGGACUGAGACACGGCCCAGACUCCUACGGGAGGCAGCAGUGGGGAAUAUUGCACAAUGGGGGAAACCCUGAUGCAGCAACGCCGCGUGAGUGAUGACGGCCUUCGGGUUGUAAAGCUCUGUCUUCAGGGACGAUAAUGACGGUACCUGAGGAGGAAGCCACGGCUAACUACGUGCCAGCAGCCGCGGUAAUACGUAGGUGGCGAGCGUUGUCCGGAUUUACUGGGCGUAAAGGGAGCGUAGGCGGACUUUUAAGUGAGAUGUGAAAUACCCGGGCUCAACUUGGGUGCUGCAUUUCAAACUGGAAGUCUAGAGUGCAGGAGAGGAGAAUGGAAUUCCUAGUGUAGCGGUGAAAUGCGUAGAGAUUAGGAAGAACACCAGUGGCGAAGGCGAUUCUCUGGACUGUAACUGACGCUGAGGCUCGAAAGCGUGGGGAGCAAACAGGAUUAGAUACCCUGGUAGUCCACGCCGUAAACGAUGAAUACUAGGUGUAGGGGUUGUCAUGACCUCUGUGCCGCCGCUAACGCAUUAAGUAUUCCGCCUGGGGAGUACGGUCGCAAGAUUAAAACUCAAAGGAAUUGACGGGGGCCCGCACAAGCAGCGGAGCAUGUGGUUUAAUUCGAAGCAACGCGAAGAACCUUACCUAGACUUGACAUCUCCUGCAUUACCCUUAAUCGGGGAAGUUCCUUCGGGGACAGGAAGACAGGUGGUGCAUGGUUGUCGUCAGCUCGUGUCGUGAGAUGUUGGGUUAAGUCCCGCAACGAGCGCAACCCUUAUUGUUAGUUGCUACCAUUUAGUUGAGCACUCUAGCGAGACUGCCCGGGUUAACCGGGAGGAAGGUGGGGAUGACGUCAAAUCAUCAUGCCCCUUAUGUCUAGGGCUACACACGUGCUACAAUGGCAAGUACAAAGAGAAGCAAGACCGCGAGGUGGAGCAAAACUCAAAAACUUGUCUCAGUUCGGAUUGUAGGCUGAAACUCGCCUACAUGAAGCUGGAGUUGCUAGUAAUCGCGAAUCAGCAUGUCGCGGUGAAUACGUUCCCGGGCCUUGUACACACCGCCCGUCACACCAUGAGAGUUGGCAAUACCCAACGUACGUGAUCUAACCCGCAAGGGAGGAAGCGUCCUAAGGUAGGGUCAGCGAUUGGGGUGAAGUCGUAACAAGGUAGCCGUAGGAGAACCUGCGGCUGGAUCACCUCCUUUCUAUGGAGAAAUGAAGUAACAAGAUGUUUACUUCGUAUGAGUGAGAAUCUAAAUCUUUGAUUUAGUUAAUUCGAACUUACAACUUCGAAUGAUAGUGAGAAGUUGCUACCUCUUAAGAGUUAAUGGUUUAACUAGUCUGUUCAAUUUUGAGAAACCAUGUUUCUCAAGAAAUUGUUCUUUGAAAAUUGCACAUGAAUUAAUAUAUAACUUCAAAACAUAUUGAGAAGUAAGCCAAGAAAUAUUCUUUGUGAUAUUAAAUGCAAAACUUUGAAAAUUUUGACUAAAUAGGUCAAGCUACAAAGGGCGCAUGGUGAAUGCCUUGGCAUCAGGAGCCGAUGAAGGACGUGAUAAGCUGCGAUAAGCUUCGGGUAGGCGCACAUAGCCAGUGAUCCGGAGAUUUCCGAAUGUGGGAACACACAUGGGAAACCCCACGUAUCGUAUAGUGAAUACAUAGCUAUACGAGGGUAAACCUAGGGAACUGAAACAUCUAAGUACCUAGAGGAAGAGAAAGAAAAAUCGAUUUCCUUAGUAGCGGCGAGCGAAAGGGAAAGAGCCCAAACCAAAGAUUUAUCUUUGGGGUUGCGGACAGAGCAUUAAAGUGGAGGCUAUUGUAAUUGAAGAGUACUGGAAAGUACCACCGUAGAAGGUAAUAGUCCUGUAAGUAAAACGAGAAGGCCACAAGUUCUGAUCCAGAGUACCACGAGACACGUGAAACCUUGUGGGAAGCAGGGAGGACCACCUCCCAAGGCUAAAUACUACCUGAUGACCGAUAGUGAAGC